rnacentral:miRNA from 1 species
UCAAAAUUACUGCACACGCGAGUGCAUAAAGCAAAAUUUAUGCAUUUAUUUAAUAAUAAAUGCAUAAAUUUUGCUUUAUGCACUCGCGUGUGCAGUAAUUUUGACAGUUAUGC